rnacentral:tRNA from 1 species
GGCCCCUUGGCGGAACCGGUAGACGCAACGGACUUAAAAUCCGUUCUUCGCAAGAGGGUCCGGGUUCGAGUCCCGGAGGGGCCACCA